UAACAAGUUUACAUGUCUUCUAGGUCCGAGAUGAUAAUGAUAAUAUUAUCGGAACUUUCCCUACUCUGGUAGAUGAAUAUAAACAUGUCAAGUGUACUGCAGAAAAGGAUGCUGUCACCCACAGAGGAAGUGAGGGUAAAACUUCAG